GCCUACACAUGCAGUCGAGCGGUACAGGUGUAGCAAUACAUGCUGACGAGCGGCGAACGGGUGAGUAAUGCUUUGGAAUCUUCCCAGUAGUGGGGAACAACCAGUCGAAAGAUUGGCUAAUACCGCAUACGUCUGUAAAGGGAAAGCGGGGGCUCGUAAGACCUCGCGCUAUUGGAUGAGCCAAAGUCGGAUUAGCUAGUUGGUGGGGUAAUGGCCUACCAAGGCGACAAUCCGUAGCUGGUCUGAGAGGACGACCAGCCACACCGGAACUGAGACACGGUCCGGACUCCUACGGGAGGCAGCAGUGGGGAAUAUUGGACAAUGGGGGAAACCCUGAUCCAGCGACGCCGCGUGUGUGAAGAAGGCCUGCGGGUUGUAAAGCACUUUUAGUGGGGACAAAAAGCUACGGAUUAAUACUCUGUGGUCUUGAUUUAACCCAAAGAAAAAGCACCGGCUAACUCUGUGCCAGCAGCCGCGGUAAUACAGAGGGUGCGAGCGUUAAUCGGAAUUACUGGGCGUAAAGCGCGCGUAGACGGUUUUGUAAGUCAGAUGUGAAAUCCCUGGGCUCAACCUGGGAACUGCAUUUGAUACUGCAUGGCUAGAGUAUCGAAGAGGGAAGUGGAAUUUCCGGUGUAGCGGUGAAAUGCGUAGAUAUCGGAAGGAACACCAGUGGCGAAAGCGACUUCCUGGUCGAAUACUGACGUUCAUGUGCGAAAGCGUGGGGAGCAAACAGGAUUAGAUACCCUGGKAGUCCACGCCAUAAACGAUGACACUAGAUGUUGGGAGGGAUCUGCCUCUCGGUGUCGCAGCUAACGCGUUAAGUU
rnacentral:rRNA from 1 species